AUUGAACGCUGGCGGCAUGCCUUACACAUGCAAGUCGAACGGCAGCAUGGAGAGCUUGCUCUCUGAUGGCGAGUGGCGUACGGGUGAGUAAUGCAUCGGAACGUACCGUGCAAUUGGGGAUAACGUAGCGAAAGUUACGCUAAUACCGCAUACGACCUGAGGGUGAAAGCAGGGGAUCGCAGGACCUUGCGUAAUACGUGCGGCCGAUGUCAGAUUAGCUAGUUGGUGAGGUAAAGGCUCACCAAGGCGACGAUCUGUAGCGGGUUUGAGAGGAUGAUCCGCCACACUGGGACUGAGACACGGCCCAGACUCCUACGGGAGGCAGCAGUGGGGAAUUUUGGACAAUGGGGGCAACCCUGAUCCAGCCAUGCCGCGUGAGUGAAGAAGGACUUCGGGUUGUAAAGCUCUUUCGGCCGGGAAGAAAUCGCACAGGCUAAUACUCUGUGUGGAUGACGGUACCGGCAUAAGAAGCACCGGCUAACUACGUGCCAGCCGCCGCAGUAA
rnacentral:rRNA from 1 species